ACGUGUAGCAGUGAAAUGCGUAGAGAUGUGGAGGAAUACCGAUGGCGAAGGCAGCCUCCUGGGAUAACGCUGACGUUCAUGCUCGAAAGCGUGGGUAGCAAACAGGAUUAGAUACCCUGGUAGUCCACGCCCUAAACGAUGUCAAUUAGCUGUUGGGCAACUUGAUUGCUUAGUAGCGUAGCUAACGCGUGAAAUUGACCGCCUGGGGAGUACGGUCGCAAGAUUAAAACUCAAAGGAAUUGACGGGGACCCGCACAAGCGGUGGAUGAUGUGGAUUAAUUCGAUGCAACGCGAAGAACCUUACCUGGUCUUGACAUGUACGGAAUCCUCCAGAGACGGAGGAGUGCCUUCGGGAGCCGUAACACAGGUGCUGCAUGGCUGUCGUCAGCUCGUGUCGUGAGAUGUUGGGUUAAGUCCCGCAACGAGCGCAACCCUUGUCAUUAGUUGCCAUCAUUAAGUUGGGCACUCUAAUGAGACUGCCGGUGACAAGCCGGAGGAAGGUGGGGAUGACGUCAAGUCCUCAUGGCCCUUAUGACCAGGGCUUCACACGUCAUACAAUGGUCGGUACAGAGGGUAGCCAAGCCGCGAGGCGGAGCCAAUCUCACAAAACCGAUCGUAGUCCGGAUUGCACUCUGCAACUCGAGUGCAUGAAGUCGGAAUCGCUAGUAAUCGCAGGUCAGCAUACUGCGGUGAAUACGUUCCCGGGUCUUGUACACACCGCCCGUCACACCAUGGGAGUGGGGGAUACCAGAAGUAGGUAGGGUAACCGCAAGGAGCUCGCUUACCACGGUAUGCUUCAUGACUGGGGUGAAGUCGUAACAAGGUAGCCGUAGGGGAACCUGCGGCUGGAUCACCUCCUAAU
rnacentral:rRNA from 1 species